rnacentral:misc_RNA from 1 species
CCUGUUCGAGCGUCAUUAUAACCACUCAAGUUUCGACUUGGUAUUGGGGUUCGCGGUUUCGCGGCCCUUAAAAUCAGUGGCGGUGCGUCUGGCUCUAAGCGUAGUAAUUCUCUCGCUACAGGGUCCGGGUGGUUACUUGCCAGAAUCCCCCACUUUUAUAGUGGUACCUCGGAUCAGGUAGGGAUACCCGCUGAACUUAA